rnacentral:rRNA from 1 species
AAAUUGAAGAGUUUGAUCAUGGCUCAGAUUGAACGCUGGCGGCAGGCCUAACACAUGCAAGUCGAACGGUAACAGGAAGCAGCUUGCUGCUUUGCUGACGAGUGGCGGACGGGUGAGUAAUGUCUGGGAAACUGCCUGAUGGAGGGGGAUAACUACUGGAAACGGUAGCUAAUACCGCAUAACGUCGCAAGACCAAAGAGGGGGACCUUCGGGCCUCUUGCCAUCGGAUGUGCCCAGAUGGGAUUAGCUUGUUGGUGGGGUAACGGCUCACCAAGGCGACGAUCCCUAGCUGGUCUGAGAGGAUGACCAGCCACACUGGAACUGAGACACGGUCCAGACUCCUACGGGAGGCAGCAGUGGGGAAUAUUGCACAAUGGGCGCAAGCCUGAUGCAGCCAUGCCGCGUGUAUGAAGAAGGCCUUCGGGUUGUAAAGUACUUUCAGCGGG